AUUGAACGCUGGCGGCAUGCUUUACACAUGCAAGUCGAACGGCAGCGGGGUAGUGCUUGCACUACUGCCGGCGAGUGACGAACGGGUGAGUAAUAUAUCGGAACGUACCGAGUAAUGGGGGAUAACCAAUCGAAAGAUUGGCUAAUACCGCAUACGUCCUGAGGGAGAAAGCGGGGGAUCGCAAGACCUCGCGUUAUUCGAGCGGCCGAUAACUGAUUAGCUAGUUGGUGGGGUAAAGGCCUACCAAGGCGACGAUCAGUAGCGGGUCUGAGAGGACGAUCCGCCACACUGGGACUGAGACACGGCCCAGACUCCUACGGGAGGCAGCAGUGGGGAAUUUUGGACAAUGGGGGCAACCCUGAUCCAGCCAUGCCGCGUGUAUGAAGAAGGCCUUCGGGUUGUAAAGUACUUUUGUUAGGGAAGAAAAGGGAAGUGCUAAUACCACUUUUUGCUGACGGUACCUAAAGAAUAAGCACCGGCUAACUACGUG
rnacentral:rRNA from 1 species